GAUAGAUAGAUAGAUAGAUAGAUAGAUAGAUAGAUAGAUAGAUAGAUAGAUAGAUAGAUAGAUAGACAGGCAGACAGACAGACAGACAGACAGACAGACAGACAGACAGGUAGGUAGACAGACAGGCAGGCAGACAGGCAGACAGACAGACAGGCAGGCAGACAGACAGACAGGCAGGCAGGCAGACAGACAGACAGGUAGGUAGGUAGGUAGACAGACAGAAAGUAGGCAGACAGACAGACAGACAGACAGACAGUAGGCAGACAGACAGGCAGGCAGGCAGACAGACAGACAUGUAGGCAGACAGACAGACAGACAGACAGGUAGGUAGACAGACAGACAGGUAGGUAGGUAGACAGGUAGGUAGACAGAUAGGUAGGUAGGUAGACAGACAGGCAGGCAGACAGACAGACAGGCAGACAGACAGACAGACAGGUAGGCAGACAGACAGACAGGUAGGUAGGUAGACAGACAGACAGGCAGGCAGACAGACAGACAGACAGGUAGGUAGGUAGGUAGACAGACAGACAGACAGACAUGUAGGCAGACAGACAGGCAGACAGACAGACAGGUAGGUAGACAGACAGACAGGUAGGCAGACAGACAGACAGGUAGGCAGACAGACAGACAGACAAACAGACAG
ensembl:lncRNA